rnacentral:rRNA from 1 species
GUGCCAGCAGCCGCGGUAAUACGUAGGGGGCGAGCGUUGUCCGAAGUCACUGGGCGUAAAGCGCGCGUAGGCGGUCUUUUAAGUUGGAUGUGAAAUCCUGCGGCCCAACCGCAGAACUGCAUCCAAAACUGGGAGACUUGAGGAUGGAAGAGGGCAGUGGAAUUCCUGGUGUAGCGGUGAAAUGCGUAGAUAUCAGGAGGAACACCCGUGGCGAAGGCGGCUGCCUGGUCCAUAUCUGACGCUGAGGUGCGAAAGCCAGGGGAGCGAACGGGAUUAGAUACCCCGGUAGUCC